CGCCCGCCACCUCAUCAAAGUUAAACGAUUAUUCUUCCUCAGCCAAAAAUCUCGCUAAUUGAUCUUUACGAUGCUUCGGUAGACCAUUGUGUAGGAUGUCACCGGCUUUGACUCUUUACUCUCAUACGGCAAGGAAGACCUCUACUAUUUACCGAUACCGAGUUGAGUGAAUGAGCACAUGAAGGAAUGAGCCCUUUCUCGAUAUGGGUAAUCCUUAGUGUACCCAAAAACUCCGUUUGGUGGGUCUGAAGUCAAGACCAAAAUCUCCUCUUUUCGGAAGAGCGUGAAAAUUUGAAAACUAUGGCCAGAUCUUGGUAGGGAAAUGGGGCCUUCCGA
rnacentral:lncRNA from 1 species